rnacentral:rRNA from 1 species
UACGUAGGGUCCGAGCGUUAUCCGGAAUUAUUGGGCGUAAAGAGCUCGUAGGCGGUUUGUCGCGUCUGCCGUGAAAGUCCGGGGCUCAACUCCGGAUCUGCGGUGGGUACGGGCAGACUAGAGUGAUGUAGGGGAGACUGGAAUUCCUGGUGUAGCGGUGAAAUGCGCAGAUAUCAGGAGGAACACCGGUGGCGAAGGCGGGUCUCUGGGCCGAUACUGACGCUGAGGAGCGAAAGCGUGGGGAGCGAACAGG